rnacentral:rRNA from 1 species
ACGCUGAUCGCACGGUCUCGUACCGGCGACGUAUCCUUCAAGUGUCUGCCUUAUCAACUUUCGAUGGUAGUCUAUAAGCCUACCAUGGUUGUAACGGGUAACGGAGAAUAAGGGUUCGACUCCGGAGAGGGAGCCUGAGAAACGGCUACCACUUCCAAGGAAGGCAGCAGGCGCGCAAAUUACCCACUCUCAGAACGAGGAGGUAGUGACGAAAAAUAACGAGACAGUUCUCUAUGAGGUCUGUCAUCGGAAUGGGUACAAUCUAAACCCUUUAACGAGGAUCUAUUGGAGGGCAAGUCUGGUGCCAGCAGCCGCGGUAAUUCCAGCUCCAAUAGCGUAUAUUAAAGUUGUUGCGGUUAAAAAGCUCGUAGUUGGAUCUGCGGUCAUUGACACUGGU